rnacentral:lncRNA from 1 species
UCUCUCUUUCUUUCUUUCUUUUUUGAGAUGGAGUUUUGCUCUUGUUGCCCAGGCUGGAGUGCUGUGGUGUGAUCUUAGCUCACCACAACCUCCGCCUCCUGGGUUCAAGUGAUUCUCCUGCCUCAGCCUCCCGAGUAGCUGGGAUUACAGGCAUGCGCCGCCAUGCCCGACUAAUUUUUGUAGUUUUAGUAGAGACGAGGUUUCACCAUGUUGGCCAGGCUGGUCUCGUACUCCUGACCUCAAGUGAUCCGCCUGCCUCGGCCUCCCAAAGUGCUGGGAUUACAGGCAUGAGCCACUGGGCCCGGCCUCUAUUAUUUCUUUAAAUAUUUCUUUUGUCCUUUCCUUCUUCUCCUCUCCUUCAGAUACUCCCAUUUGUUUUAAAGUUAUUUUGAAAACUGUAUUUGAAUAUAAUUGGUUUCCUUUGUAUUCCUUUAUAUUUUUAAUGCAUUUAAAAACAUUAUUCUAAGAAGAUGUCCAUAGGUAUCACUAGGCUGCUAGAAGAGUCUUUGGCACAAAAAUGUUAAUAGAAUAUCCUUAUUCUAGAUAGUGUUAUAGAUGAAUGUUUUCCAAACUGGUUUUUCAAAGAAAGCUAUUUCUUAGGAUAUUGAUAGUUGCUGCAAUAGAGGUAGUCUUUGCUCAGAUAAGCUUGGGAACACUGAAUGAAACUGAGUGAACACUGAGAAAAGCAUCUGAUAUCUUUUUCUGCCCGAUUUCUCCAAGUCUUUUAUUCGCUAAAAUGCUUUGUGUAUAUCUAAGAGGAGAUAUAAUGUGCAACAUUUUCUAAUUCAGUGUAGCACACAGUACACACUUUUUUCAAUUUGUUAUUUUAAAAAAACCCCUCUAAUAAUAUCUAGUUCAAUGAAUUAUGCAAAUGAAAUGCUCCAAAACACAAAUCCCCUAAAAAAGGGCCAUAAAUGCUUUUAUAUUAUUAUAAUAAGUGUUUCUCAAACUAAGAAUAACAGACUAAUGAACCCAUUUAAAAGGAGAAAAAUCUCACAAACUCCUCGGUACUUAAUGUGUAACUUAAAUGAGUUUUAGUUUAACAUUAUUUAAGUAUGUAGAAAUGUAAAACUAGAUAUAGCCUUUAAACAAUAAAACCAAAACAAAUUUAUGAAUUAAAUACGAUGCUACA